UACGUAGGGUGCGAGCGUUGUCCGGAAUUAUUGGGCGUAAAGAGCUUGUAGGUGGCUCGUUGCGUCGGGAGUGAAAACCUGCGGCUUAACCGCAGGCCUGCUUCCGAUACGGGCGAGCUAGAGUUCGGCAGGGGGAGACUGGAAUUCCUGGUGUAGCGGUGGGAAUGCGCAGAGUAUCAGGAGGAACACCGGUGGCGAAGGCGGGUCUCGUGGGCCGAUACUGACACUGAGAAGCGAAAGCGUGGGGAGCGAACAG
rnacentral:rRNA from 1 species